rnacentral:rRNA from 1 species
UACGAAGGGGGGCUAGCGUUGCUCGGAAUGACUGGGCGUAAAGGGGCGCGUAGGCGGUGCGGUAAGUCACCUGUGAAAUCUCCUGGCUCAACUGGGAGCUUGCAGGCGAAACUGCCGUGCUGGAGUGUGGGAGAGGUGAGUGGAAUUCCCGGUGUAGCGGUGAAAUGCGUAGAUAUCGGGGAGGAACACCUGUGGCGAAAAGCGGGCUCACCUGAACCACAACUGACGCUGAGGCCGCGAAAGCUAGGGGGAGCAAACAGG